rnacentral:lncRNA from 1 species
GCCCAGAAAUUGUUGACUGCAUGCCAGAUAUAAAGAUAUUUUUUGUAAUACAAUAAGUAUUCUUGAGUAUUCCUCUGGGACAAUUAAAGUACUAAAAAACAAAUCUUUCUGAGGCUUGCUUUUAAGGCUUUUGAAUGUGGGAUCAGAGCUACAUUUAGUUUGAGGGCCUAUAAAAGCCCCAGGCUCAGCCAGAGCAGAGCAGAUGAUGGAUGACCAGCUGCAGAGAAGAGCUACCCUUUCUGCUGACAGCAGAAGAUGUCCCAACAACCAGCAGAAGAGAGAAGCUAUCCAUUCUAGGGCCUCUUCUCUGCUGAGAGCUUCAGAAACCUGCAGAGACAUCGAGACUACCAGCUGCAGAGUGGAACAAUCCACUCCAGGGCCACCUCUCUGCUGAGAGCUAAGAAGACAAUGAGAUGACCUGCCUGCUAGGAGGAGCUUCCCUCUCCAGGGUCUCCUUUCUGCUAGGAGCUGAACUCUCAUUGGAACAUCCUGGCUGUGGAAAGGAGCUACCCUCUGCAGGUCUCCUGUGUGCUGUUCUAUUGAUCAAUAAAGCUCCCCUUCAUCUCGCUCAUCCUCCACUUGGCUCUGUACCUCAUGCUUCCUAGUUGCAGGACAAGAACUCGGGACCUACCAAAUGGCAGAGCUAAAAGAGCUAUAACACAGGACUGAAACAUGCCCCCUGCUUGCCACAUUGAGGGCAAAGAGAAGGAGAUAAGAUCUGUGCCUUCUCAGGCAGCCCAGACCUGGGAGCUCCCUGAGCCAGGGCUGUGACUCCCUCUUUGGGGUCCUGUGGUGCCUAGUAUCUCCAAGCUUCCAGGUGCCACUGCAUUUCCCGGUGCCAGCUGGGGAAGCUUCCUGCAGUGCACCUGGUCUGGCCACAGCCUCACAGAGAGUCAGUGCCUGUGCCAGCACCUGUAACUGCCCGCCCCAUUGCAGCAGCCGGCAUGUCCGAUUGCACACUGGCUGAACCCCAUGCUCCCUCACACACCCCUUGCCACUCCAUGCCUGACUUACCCUUGGCAGGUAUGGGAUCCAGGCCAGUAGUGUCAGCCAAGUAAAGCCUGCCAGGCCAGGUAGGCAGAACAAACCCAGCGGGCCUAAGCAAGACUUGGGCAAAGACAUCACCAGCCAGAAAAACAAUAUCCCAAGAAUCUUGUGACACUAGGCAUAGUGAAGUUCUUUAUUAAUUUGUAGAUUUUUAACCUGGAAAAUUCUAAUAUUUUCAACUAUUAAAAAAGAUAAUCCCCAAAAUAAUGCUUUAUUGUCAUGUAAAAUAUUAAAUAGAUUGUAUGUAACUUAGCUAUAUUAUUCUAAGAUAAAAUUCAUUAACUUGUCUUUAAGAAACUAGUUCCUAAAAUGCACUUUGAACUGUAUUUAUAAUCUCACUAGUCCUCUACUUAAUUAGGAAGUGGAAUAAAAUAUUUGAUAUAUUUUCUUUUUAUAUUUACAAAAGUCACCAUUUAAAUUCUUUGAAUUUUAACAUGUUAUACUUUUGGAGGAUCCACUGAGACACUAAAGUGGGUUCAUAAAGCCAACCAAACUGUGAUAGCACAGAAAUGUACUUCAGGAGCUGUUUAGGAGGAGAGACUUUUCUUUCUCCUCAAAGUGAUUCUCAAAUAGCAAUAGAGUCCUGGUGCAGUGGCUCAUGCCUACAAUCGAGCACUUUGGGAGGCCAAGGUGGGAGAAUUGUUUGAGCCCAGGAGUUCAAGAUCAGCAUAGGCAACAUAGCGAGACCUCAUCUCUACAAAAAAUACAGAAAUUAGCCAGGUGUGCCGGCAUGUGCUGUGUUUUUUGUCCAGCUACUUGGGAGGCUGAAGUGGAGGGAUUUCUUGAAACUGGGAGGUCAAGACUGAAGUAAGCCAUGAUCCUGCCACUAUACUCCUACAUGGGGGAAAGAGCAAGACUCUGUCUCAAAAAAAAAAAAAAAAAAAGAAAAAAAGAAAAAAAAGGCAAUAGAACUGUACCUUUGCUGUGAUGCUAGUCUACUACAAGUUGGCUUUUUUCUUUAAAUUUUGAAUUUUUCAUUUUCUUUUCUAGUUCUUCACCAUUUUGGUUCUGGAUAUAGUUUCCACUAGAAGAUGAUAAUGAUGAUAAUGAUAAUCCCCAUGCAUGCAUUAAUAAUUGGGAAUGUAAUUUUAUAAUCUGAACUUUAAAGACCUCUGUUAAGAUUAAAGGGAUUUCUUGUCCUUCAUAUGAGACAUGACAAGGAAUGAGAGUUGCAUUUUUUAAAUUCUUUGUUUCUCUAUUUGUGUAUCCAAAUAAUUUCAUAAAACAUUUUAUAACUACUAGAAGGGAAAAUAAUCCUUUGAAAUCUUGAACAGUGUAUUUUGGUGUUUCCUUGAUUACUUAAUCUGUUGCAGAGAUUGUUAUAAUUAAAGCUACAAUUUUCUCUGUGUUGCUAUAACUCAGAAGUCAUUCUCUCUCAUUCUGUAUGAAGUAUUUUCCUAAGAAGAGUAUUAAUAAAUAAAAUUUAGAAGUCUCUGAAUUUUAAGGAGCUAAGAUAUAAUUGGUUUACAUAGUAUAAGAAGUUCAUGAAUCUAUAGUAAUAUCUAAAGAAAACUUCAAAUGUACUAGUAAUUUAGGGAAAAAAUUCUUCUUAAAGGAUCUGCUAGCAGCUUAGAAAGAUUUUAAUUUACGAAUCUAAAUUCAUGCAAUAAAAGUGAAUCUUUGUAGACUAUGUGUUAAGCCACAAGACAAGCCUCAACAAAUUUUUAAAAAAUGAAAUCACAUCAACU